rnacentral:rRNA from 1 species
GAUGAAUGCUGGCUGUGUGGAUAAGGCAUGCAAGUCGAAUGAGUUUAUACUCAUGGCGAACGAGGUAGUAACACGUAGGACUACGUACCCCAAAGUCAGGGAUAACCUGUCGAAAGGCAGAAUAAUACUUGAUAUCUCUUCGGAGGAAAGUUUUAACGCUUUGGGAACGGCCUGCGGAGUAUCAGCUAGUUGGUAGUGUAAUGGACUACCAAGGCUACGACGCUUAGGGGAGGUGAGAGCCUGACCCCCACCGAUGGAACUGAGACACGGUCCAUACUCCUACGGGAGGCCGCAGUCGAGAAUCUUCCACAAUGGACGAAAGUCUGAUGGAGCGACACAGCGUGACCGAUGAAGUCCUACAGGAUGUAAAGGUCUUUUAUAAGUGAAGAAGUUUAUUGACAUUAGCUUAUGAAUAAGGGGCUGCUAAUCACGUGCCAGCAGCAGCGGUAAUACGUGAGCCCCGAGCAUUAUCCGGAAUUAUUGGGCGUAAAGGGUCCGUAGGCGGUUUAAUUAGUCUCCUGUUAAAGCACCGGGCUUAACCCGGGACAGGCAGGAGAAACGGUUAAACUAGAGAAAUUGAGGGGUGAGUGGAACUCAUGGUGUAGGGGUGAAAUCCGUUGAUAUCAUGGGGAACACCAAAAGCGAAGGCAACUCACUGGCAAUUUUCUGACGCUGAGGGACGAAACCCUGGGUAGCGAAUGGGAUUAGAUACCCCAGUAGUCCAGGGCCUAAAUGAUGCACACUGGCUUUGUAGGGAAUCAACCCCCUGCGAGGCGAAAGCUAACGCGUUAAGUGUGCCGCCUGGGGAGUACGGUCGCAAGGCUAAAACUCAAAGGAAUAGACGGGGACUCGCACAAGCGGUGGAUCACGCGGCUUAAUUCGAUGAUACACGAAGAACCUUACCUAGAUUAGAUAUUAUAGUCAUGUCACACAUUGGAGACAAAUAGUGAAUAUUGAGCUAUAACAGGUGUUGCAUGGCCGUCGUCAGUUCGUGGCUUGAGCUGUUCCCUUAAGUGGGGAAACGAACGCAACCCUCAUCGUCUGUUACACGUAUCAGACGAGACUGCCUCGCCCUAAGUAUUUAAAUUUAUUUUUUAAAUUUACUUAAAUAUUUUGGGCGGGGAGGAAGGUGAGGAUGACGCCAGGUCAGCAUGACCCUUGAUGUCUAGGGCUGCACGCAUGAUACAAUGGGUAGGACAACGGGUCGCGACGUAGCAAUACUGAGCCAAUCCUUCAAACCUAUCCUAAGUUCGGAUUGGGGGCUGAAACUCGCCCCCAUGAAGUUGGAAUCGCUAGUAAU